rnacentral:tRNA from 1 species
AAAAAAGUGGCAGAGCGGUUAUGCGGUUGGCUUGAAACUAACCUAUGGGGGUUCGACUCCUCCCUUUUUCG